rnacentral:lncRNA from 1 species
AGUGGAGUCUGAAAUGGAUUCAAAGCCCAAACAAAAGAAUACAUUGAAACAAAUUAUGGCAAGCGAUAAGAAGGCAACUAGACAAUUUCACAAAACGUACACCCUAAACUAAAGUACUAGUUAAUGCGAAAUUAAACUAACUAUCACAUAGACCUAAUUAAGUUACAAUAAAUGGCUAAACAAAACAAGAUAAAAUAAGAAGUUAUCAUGCUAUUAACAAAAGAAUUAAACAGACAAAAUAAUAAUUAGAGAAUAAAAUUUGGAAAGAAGAAACUGAGAAUGAACAAAUGGACAUGACCCUAGAUUGGCCAGAAACUUUGGAGACAUUUCGAUUGAAUUACCCAAAGGAGAAAAAAAGAAGAGAAGAGCAAAGAAGACUGAAAAAACACAAGAAUAAACAAAAAGGGAAGAAAGAACUUACUGACUCAGUUUUGAACUUGCAACUGACCUUCCAAUUUAAACCCCCAAAUAAUGUCAAUCGCUUUUUCUUUGUUAAGAACAAACGAACGACAUUAUUUCAUGAUAAAAUAAGCCCUAUGAGAACUAGAAUCCAACCUUUGCAUGUAUAGGUCUGGAUUUGGCUACACGGAUCCGAAAAAGAUUUGAUAUUUGAGGACUUCUGGACAUAUUCGAAAGAAACCAAUGAUAUACUAAGUAUGAUGGGGUAAAGGGGGUGCUAUGGUGUAAAGAUGGGGGCGGUUGGAGGUGGAUCUUCCAUGACUUUGGAUGAUGGAAAUGAGGGCGGCUAGGGUUUCUAGAGGUGUUCUCUGAAGAAUGGAAGUGAG